UACCAGCCCCGCGAGCGUUCUGAAGGGUUAUUGGGCCUAAAGCGCCCGUAGCCAGCCUAGCAAGUCUCCGCGGAAAUCCCCUGGCUCAACCCGGGGGCAAGCGGAGAAACUGCUGGGCUAGGGUGCGGGAGAGGCCGGGGGUACUCCCGGGGUAGGGGCGAAAUCCUAUAAUCCCUGGAGGACCACCAGUGGCGAAGGCGCCCUGCUGGAACGCGCCCGACGGUGAGGGGCGAAAGCGGGGGGAGCGAACCGG
rnacentral:rRNA from 1 species